rnacentral:rRNA from 4 species
UGCAGAAUCCCGUGAACCAUCGAGUUUUUGAACGCAAGUUGCGCCCGAAGCCUCUGGUUGAGGGCACGCCUGCCUGGGCGUCACGC